UACGGAGGAUGCGAGCGUUAUCCGGAUUUAUUGGGUUUAAAGGGUGCGUAGGCGGACUGUCAAGUCAGCGGUAAAAUUGAGAGGCUCAACCUCUUCCCGCCGUUGAAACUGGUGGUCUUGAGUGGAUGAGAAGUACGCGGAAUGCGUGGUGUAGCGGUGAAAUGCAUAGAUAUCACGCAGAACUCCGAUUGCGAAGGCAGCGUACCGGCAUCCAACUGACGCUGAGGCACGAAAGUGCGGGGAUCAAACAGG
rnacentral:rRNA from 1 species